rfam:Nectria haematococca mpVI 77-13-4 chromosome 9 genomic scaffold NECHAsca_27_chr9_1_0, whole genome shotgun sequence.
GGGCGAAUGGUUUAGGGGUAUAAUGCUCGCUUCGCAUCUCUGAACCUUCUGGUUCUGAAGACGAUCUGCGAGAGGUCCGGGGUUCGAUUCCCCGUUCGUCCA